rnacentral:SRP_RNA from 1 species
GCCAGGCAUGGUGGUGCGUGCCUGUAAUCUCAGCUACUCAGGAGGCUGAGGCGGGAGAAUCGCUCGAACCCAGGAGGCAGAGGUUGCAGUGAGCCGAGAUGGCACCUCUGCACUCCAGCCUGGGUGACAGAGCGAGACUCUGUCUCAA